GGCUUGUGGAAUCUCGAUGGGU
rnacentral:siRNA from 1 species